rnacentral:rRNA from 1 species
CAGCAGCCGCGGGAAUACGGAGGAUCCAAGCGUUAUCCGGAAUUAUUGGGUUUAAAGGGUGCGUAGGCGGCAUGCUAAGUCAGGGGUGAAAGACGGUGGCUCAACCAUCGCAGUGCCUUUGAUACUGGUGUGCUUGAAUAUACAUGAGGUAGGCGGAAUGAGACAAGUAGCGGUGAAAUGCAUAGAUAUGUCUCAGAACACCAAUUGCGAAGGCAGCUUACUAAGGUAUGAUUGACGCUGAUGCACGAAAGCGUGGGGAUCAAACAGGAUUAGAUACCCCGGUAGUCCCUGUCUCUUAUAC